ensembl:lncRNA
CGGGACCGAGGCGCACGAGCGCGGGCUGGGUGCCCUGCCGGAGGUGGGUGCUCCAGGCGGUGGGAAAGAAAGACAGCGCUCACCCGGGCCCGGGCCGCGUUCCCGGGUCGUCUGCAGGAACCCAAGGCAUUGAGGAACAUACAAGAAGAAAGGGUAGGUAGGCAUAGUGUUGCUGGGCUGCCCCGACUUCCGGGACCCCCCUAAACUUCCCCCAAACCCUAGCUGCCUCCUUUCGCCGGCCGUCGGAGCCUAGCUUGAAAAAAAAAAAAACAACCUGGUCCUUCCCUCCACGCCCCAGGAGGACGGACACCCUGCAACCACGAGCCAAAUGAUAACACCCAAAUGCCUGCACCAUUAAAAAUUUAAAAAGCAGCAGCGGCACCCCCAAACCUUAUUAAACAUUCAAAUAGAAAAAUUAAGAUAUUCUGGGCAAAAGAAGUGUUUAGACAAAGGCUGUCUGCUUCAAUUUCCCCGUUAAGCGGCGAACAGGCUGCUCGGAGAGAGAGUGACGGUGGAUUCCAUAAAUUAACAGAAAAUCCCUCUUCUCCGGAGCCCAAGUUAUCUCUCCGUUGCCUGCAGCCCUGAUUUAGAAUGGGAGCCGGCUUGUUUACCGGUUUAAUUAAUGCUUCUUUUCAAGCGGGGAGGAGGGGAGGGGAAAUGAAGUGACUUGGUGAUAAACAGGUGUAGCCGGCCUGCCGCGAGCUCUCGGGGCCGGCGGCAGCCUCAUCAGGCUUGACUGGGCAUGACCCCGCCAGCGAAAAAGGUAGAUGGCCCAGUUGGAAGCGCAGUAGGUCCUGCUGCUGCUACUGCUAAGUUGCUUCAGUCAUGUCCGACUCUGUGUGACCCCAGAGACAGCAGCCCACCAGGCUCCCCCGUCCCUGGGAUUCUCCAGGCCUCACCUCAGAUCUUCCACACCCAGGACCAGAGCAUCACUUCUCCCAGAGGAGCCUGAUUCGACAACGACCCUGCCUGGAGUUCAGAAGGCGGUCUUUGGUGGGAUUUCGGUAUCCUGAGCUUCGGGCCUCCUAAACCCAUUUGACCCCGUCAUCUCCUUGUGUGAUGGCUCCUUUUCUCAACCGAGACCCCUCAGCGAGGCUUUUUCCCACCAACCUGUCUGAG